rnacentral:ncRNA from 1 species
AUUAACCGCUAGGGGAGCAAUGCUGAGAGUGUACGUGCAAUGCACGUCUAACCCUUAUUACCUGAUCUGGUUAGUACCAGCGUAGGGAAGCACGAUUGAUUAUAA